rnacentral:rRNA from 1 species
CCGCGGUAAGACAGAGGAGCCAAGCGUUGUCCGGAUUGACUGGGCGUAAAGCGCACGCAGGCGGCUGGGCACGUGGGGUGUGAAACCUGGCGGCUUAACUGCCAGACGCCAUCCCAUACGGCCCGGCUCGAGGCAGGCAGAGGUUCGUGGAAUUGCCGGUGUAGUGGUGAAAUGCGUAGAGAUCGGCAGGAACACCAAGGGCGAAAGCAGCGAACUGGGCCUGUUCUGACGCUCAGGUGCGAAAGCGUGG